UGACACAUGUUUUUAACCGACUUCCAAAAAAGGAGGAGGUUCUCAAUUCGACUGUAUUUUUUUUUUUUUUUUUUUUUUUUUUUUAUGUAUGUUACAUCAGAACUUUUGACCGGGUAGACCGAUUUCGACAAAUUUUGUUUCAAUCGAAAGGUGGUGUGUGCCGAUUGGUCCCAUUUAAAUUUAUUUGAGAUCUAAUAACUACUUUUCGAGUUAUAUCUAAUAAUGCGUUUUUACUUGACGCUUUUUUCGUCGACCUACGUUGUAUUAUACCGCAUAACUUUCUACUGGAUAUACCGAUUUUGAUAAUUCUUUUUUGUUGGAAAGGAGAUAUCCCAAAUUUAGUACCA
rnacentral:misc_RNA from 1 species